AGCAGCUUGGCGCAGCGGUAGCGCGCGGGGCCCAUAACCCCGAGGUCCUUAGAUCGAAACUAAGAGCUGCUA